AAGAUUUCUUCGGAUUGAAUCUUAAAUAUCUUAGCGGCGAACGGGUGAGUAACGCGUGAGAAACCUGCCUUUCACAAAGGGAUAGCCUCGGGAAACUGGGAUUAAUACCUUAUGAUACUUUUUCUUCGCAUGAGGAAAAAGUCAAAGCGUAAAGCGGUGAAAGAUGGUCUCGCGUCCCAUUAGUUAGUUGGUGAGGUAACGGCUCACCAAGACAGCGAUGGGUAGCCGGCCUGAGAGGGUGAACGGCCACACUGGAACUGAGACACGGUCCAGACUCCUACGGGAGGCAGCAGUGGGGAAUAUUGCACAAUGGAGGAAACUCUGAUGCAGCGACGCCGCGUGAACGAUGAAGGCUUUCGAGUCGUAAAGUUCUGUCCUAGGGGACGAUAAUGACGGUACCCUAGGAGGAAGCCCCGGCUAACUACGUGCCAGCAGCCGCGGUAAUACGUAGGGGGCAAGCGUUGUCCGGAUUUAUUGGGCGUAAAGGGUACGCAGGCGGCCUUUUAAGUCAGAUGUGAAAGAUCACGGCUCAACCGUGGUAAGCAUUUGAAACUGGAAGGCUUGAGUUAAGGAGAGGAAAGUGGAAUUCCUAGUGUAGCGGUGAAAUGCGUAGAUAUUAGGAGGAAUACCAGUGGCGAAGGCGACUUUCUGGACUUAUACUGACGCUGAGGUACGAAAGCGUGGGGAGCGAACAGGAUUAGAUACCCUGGUAGUCCACGCCGUAAACGAUGAGUGCUAGGUGUCGGGGGUCAAACCUCGGUGCCGCAGCUAACGCAUUAAGCACUCCGCCUGGGGAGUACGUACGCAAGUAUGAAACUCAAAGGAAUUGACGGGGACCCGC
rnacentral:rRNA from 1 species